rnacentral:tRNA from 1 species
GCCCCGGUAUCCCAAUCGGCAGAGGAAGCGGUCUUAAACACCGCGCAGUGUGGGUUCGAGCCCCACCCGGGGCACCG